rnacentral:rRNA from 1 species
GACAGAGGGGGCGAGCGUUGUCCGGAAUUAUUGGGCGUAAAGCGUCCGUAGGUGGUUUGGCAAGUCUGGGGUUAAAGCCCGGAGCCUAACUCCGGAUCGGCCCUGGAAACUGCCAGACUAGAGUAAGGUAGGGGUUGCGGGAAUUCCCGGUGUAGCGGUGAAAUGCGUAGAUAUCGGGAAGAACACCAGUGGCGAAAGCGCGCAACUGGGCCAUUACUGACACUGAGGGACGAAAGCUAGGGGAGCGAAUGGG